UACGUAGGGGGCAAGCGUUGUCCGGAUUUAUUGGGCGUAAAGAGCGUGUAGGCGGCCUGGUAGGUCAGCUGUGAAAACUCGAGGCUCAACCUCGAGACGCCGGUUGAAACCAUCAGGCUAGAGUCCGGAAGAGGAGAGUGGAAUUCCCGGUGUAGCGGUGAAAUGCGCAGAUAUCGGGAAGAACACCCGUGGCUAAGGCGGCUCUCUAGUACGGUACUGACGCUGAGGCGCGAAAGCUAGGGGAGCAAACAGG
rnacentral:rRNA from 1 species